AUCUCUGUGAAUAGGCCAAGUAAUCUUCUAUCUUGGCUUCUUCUUCAUUUUCAUUUUGACAAUUCAACCAAGAUUGAAACUUUUUUUUCUCUUUUUCCUCCCUUUUGUUUUGUUUUGUUGGGCACUGUCAGAUUAUAAGGAUUGUUUUGAUUCUGCACAAGAAGAAAGCUUAUACCCAUUUGCUCUGUAAUGUGAUUGACUAGCAAGCUCCCGCCUUUCAGGUCAGGAGAUGUUCUUCUGUGAUUUUGACCAUUGAUUUAUUCGUAUGAUCCUCCAACACUGGCAUUCAAAGUCGGAUUCUUCCAGGAGCACCUCCCUUGUUUGACUCAAUGACUAGAUAUUGGAUGAUAUUGAUAUUUUGCGUAUGUCCUUUGAUCUUAAGGACACACUAAUUGCCGACUAUUUGUUUGAGGAAAAACUAUCGGUGAUUGAUUCACUAUUGGGGAUCUGAAGAAAUGGAUGUGGAUAGUUAUGUCCUUUGAUUUUAGGACAUUUGAAAACUAUGGAUAUGAGAAACAAAUAUCCGUACUCUGGUUGACACGAUGUAUUGGUACUGAGGACACGAUGUAUGGAUAUGAGAAACAAAUAUCGGUACUCUGGAUAUGAUUAGAGGAAGGAAUAUUGGUACUUAUAUUGACAAGAUGAUCUGAGGAAUGAAUAUAGGUAGUAAUGUUGACAGAGGAAGCUCCACCUCCAAGGAACUGCUUAUGAGAAGAGACACCUUUAUUCGCCUGGACUCGUCACAAUAAGAGGAGGGUAGAGUUCCGGAUGACAUUUGAACCAUAUGCAUUCGCCGGUCUCACUUUCAACCAAAAGUUCACUGGGGGACGCUGUGACACCAGCAAUGCCUCCCACACUCCCAAAAGAAAAAGAAAAGAGAAACAGGUAUAGACUAGUUGCAGCUGUCUUGAGUUGUAAUUGAAUGCCAAAACAAUUAAGAAGUUUCCAAAGCCUCCAGACAAGAAAUGCAGAAAAUCUGCGAUUGUAUGCCAAUCAACACAGCUGAGCAUUUCAUAUAACCUGGAGAUCUUUGAAUCAUUUGUAGGAGAAUAUCACCGACUGUAAUAAUGUAAGUUAGAGACACAUUAUUACUGAGGCCUCCUAUGAUAUUCUCCUAUAAAUAAAGGUUGAUCAGCUACGCUGGAGCGUUGCUCCAAUGGCUAAUGCAGAAUAAUCGUUUACCGAUCCAUGUACUACUUCGGUGUUUCUGUCACUGGUUACUCCUCUACCUCCAUCAAUAACUGUAUGUAGGAACUGUGCGAGAGAAUAGUCAAUACCUUCGUAUGAAGAUAGUAAAUCAUCCAACUCAAUGAAAUUAUUGUCAUGGGAAAAAUCUCUCGGUCCUCCGUUUAUUGAUGGUAAUGUAUAAUUGUAAUUGUUUGGCAGAAAUGAAUCAAAUUCUGAUCCCAGAUUUGCUCCUAGUUGAGAAUAUCCCUGAAUUAACAAAUGGAGAAAGAGUUAAGUUUGGAUUCACUUCUUUUGUUGCAGCAUAUUUAGAAGUUCAAAUAAAAAGUUGUUAAAAGAGCAUGCUUAGUCUCACCUCUGGAAUCAUAUUUGCGGCUUGAUUUUCAGAACUAGAUGCGAUGUUGCUAACUAAUUCGUCGUUAUCAUUGGUUGAGAUAUUAUUCUUCUUCGUAAGAGAAGGGUCAUUAUGCUCAAAUGGAUAUGUCCUCUUACGACAUUCAUCAUUAUGGAUAUUGGUGGUAUGCAUCGGUGACUGAUGCAGUUGAGGUGGUGCAGGCGGAUGAAAGAGUGAAUCCAGAUUUUCUGGGUCAUCUAGUAGCUGUUUCAUCACAAACAAGAAAGUGUGAGAUGAAUUGCUUCUAUCAGGUUGGCCUUCAACAUCAGUUGAAGGAUCCUUCUUAUCUAUACGACAAGGAUCAGUUUGCCUGCCUUGGACUUCGAAUUCAUGCGGAUUGCCAAUGGGAAUCUGAAGAGUGUC